UACGGGGGGUGCAAGCGUUGUCCGGAAUUACUGGGCGUAAAGGGCGUGUAGGCGGCGGGACAAGUCAGAUGUGAAAGCCCCCGGCUUAACCGGGGAAUUGCAUUUGAAACUGUUUUGCUUGAGUGCGAGAGGGGGUAGUGGAAUUCCCAGUGUAGCGGUGAAAUGCGUAGAUAUUGGGAAGAACACCAGUAGCGAAGGCGGCUACCUGGCUCGCAACUGACGCUAAGGCGCGAAAGCGUGGGGAGCAAACAGGAUUAGAUACCCCGGUA
rnacentral:rRNA from 1 species